CCAGACUCCUACGGGAGGCAGCAGUGGGGAAUAUUGCACAAUGGGGGAAACCCUGAUGCAGCGACGCCGCGUGAGCGAAGAAGUAUUUCGGUAUGUAAAGCUCUAUCAGCAGGGAAGAAAAAAAUGACGGUACCUGAGUAAGAAGCACCGGCUAAAUACGUGCCAGCAGCCGCGGUAAUACGUAGGGGGCAAGCGUUAUCCGGAUUUACUGGGUGUAAAGGGAGCGUAGACGGCAGUGCAAGUCUGGAGUGAAAGGCGGGGGCUCAACCCCCGGACUGCUCUGGAAACUGUACGGCUGGAGUGCAGGAGAGGUAAGUGGAAUUCCUAGUGUAGCGGUGAAAUGCGUAGAUAUUAGGAGGAACACCAGUGGCGAAGGCGGCUUGCUGGACGGUAACUGACGUUGAGGCUCGAAAGCGUGGGGAGCAAACAGGAUUAGAUACCCGCGUACAC
rnacentral:rRNA from 1 species